CGAGGAGAGUUCUUUGGAGAGGCAAGCUGACGGCAGCAAACUAGAAAAGAAAUCUGGGCAAGAAACCUGAGGGUGGAGGAACGGAAAAAUCUGAAGAGUAGCAAGAGAGCUUGAUCCUGGUACAGCAAGCUCCGUUUCUGGGUUUGCUAUCUGGCACCACCUCCACCUUCAUCAUCAGACCACGGUUGUCCACUCUUGUUAUCCUUCCCCCGCCACCAUCCAACACCAACUUUGCCCUCUGGAUCCAAAAGCUUGAAGAAGCCGCGGCCUUUUCUUCAUUUUUAUGGUCUACCUCCUCCAGACUUGCAGCUACUGCUGCAGUAUCAUCAAGAAAUCAGCCCGCAUCCAUCGUCGCUGCUGUACAUCAUUUCAGUCCCCC
rnacentral:lncRNA from 1 species